rnacentral:rRNA from 1 species
CCUACGGGGCGCAGCAGUGAGGAAUAUUGGUCAAUGGUCGGGAGACUGAACCAGCCAAGCCGCGUGAGGGAUGAAGGUACAGAGUAUCGUAAACCUCUUUUGUCAGGGAACAAAGGCGGGGACGUGUCCCCGGAUGAGUGUACCUGAAGAAAAAGCAUCGGCUAACUCCGUGCCAGCAGCCGCGGUAAUACGGAGGAUGCGAGCGUUAUCCGGAUUUAUUGGGUUUAAAGGGUGCGCAGGCGGUCUGUUAAGUCAGUGGUCAAAGCCCGGGGCUCAACCGGUACAGGCUCUGGAAACUGGCGGGG